rnacentral:rRNA from 1 species
UACGUAGGGGGCAAGCGUUGUCCGGAAUCAUUGGGCGUAAAGAGCGUGUAGGCGGCCCGAUAAAGUCCGCUGUGAAAGUCCAGGCUCAACCCUGGAAUGCCGGUGGAUACUGUCGGGCUCGAAUCCGGAAGAGGUGAGUGGAAUUCCUGGAUGUGAGCGGUGAAAUGCGCAGAUAUCAGGAGGAACACCAAUGGCGAAGGCGGCUUUCUGGCCUGUUCUUGACGCUGGAG